rnacentral:rRNA from 1 species
UACGGGGGGAGCAAGCGUUGCUCGGAUUUACUGGGCGUAAAGGGCGCGUAGGCGGCCACGACAAGUCACUUGUGAAAUCUCCGGGCUUAACUCGGAACGGUCAAGUGAUACUGUCGGGCUAGAGUGCAGAAGGGGCAACUGGAAUUCUCGGUGUAGCGGUGAAAUGCGUAGAUAUCGAGAGGAACACCUGCGGCGAAGGCGGGUUGCUGGGCUGACACUGACGCUGAGGCGCGAAAGCCAGGGGAGCGAACGGG